rnacentral:lncRNA from 1 species
AUGGCUGUGGUUUUCACCUCGACAAGCCACAGGAAUCCUCCAUUUUUUUCAGAUGUUCUGAACAUCACACAAAACCCUAAACAGACUAAUUAUCUCUCUCUGUGGAGCCCUGGAGAUGUUUCUCAUUCGGCUGCCUUCUUUAUGCAACACCACAGAGUCCUGAAGCAAAGACUCUUCCUCUGGAAGCUGGAGUGUCCUUCAGCACCUGGCCUUGUUUUUGAGCUCGCUUAAAGAGAGAGUGGCUCUGAAUCCAAAGGGCAGCGGUGUCAAAUCAUAAAAACACCCAAGAGUCUGGCUCAUAACCCAUAAUCCCCUGAAUGCCAUGCUUCUCACAUCCUUGGAUAUAAUUGAAUAUGGAGUGAUCCAGCUUCCGUGGAUCUCUUUUUGGGGGGCCGUAUCUUGAUGCUUUGGCUAAUUAAUUCUCUCUUACCUGACUUCCUCCAUUCAAAGUGAAUCCAGGCAAUUAGAAAGAGCGACUCCCUGGAGCGAUGGUAUGAGAGGGAGGUGAACGGCUCGUAAGGAGAGCAACAGAAAGCUCCUCAUUACUCCACAGACGUGUCCAUCUGGUUUAAGGAGGACCCCGUGGAGGUUACAGGGGGUCGUCACUUCCAUAAUAAUGCUUAUGGAUAAUAAAUCAGAACCAAUACAUGGAUCACAGCAGUUCAUGAGCUCCCUCUUCUGGACACAAUUAGAGACGCCACAGUGAAAUAAAUGUCUUCUGGAGAGCAGAUUUCAGUAAUGUCUGUGAUAAGAUGAGGUAUUAAGAGAUCAGUUCAAGCAGGAACCGUUGAUUACCUUGAACUACGCUAUAUAACUGUCCGAAUAAAAAGUGCUGGUUAUUUCAAAUCUAUUUUGGUGUUUUAAAGGGAUAAUUCACCCCAAGAUUAAAAUUCUGUCACUUUUUACUGUUUACUCACCCACUGUUAACGCAUUUCUAUUGUAUGGAGUGAAAAAAAAUGGCAACAAAAAAUUGAAAAAAUUGUUCAACAAAAGAAAGAAACUCAUACAGGUUUGGAAAAACAUCAUGGUAAUAUGUAAUAAUAUUUAAAAGAUACUGUUUAAAAUUGUGGGGGCAGUAAGAUGUUUUAUUUGAUUUAUUUAUUUAUUUAUUAUUUUCUUUUUUGGACUAAGUCGCUUCUGAAAGCCAAGGCUGCAUUUAAUGAUUCAAAAACAGUGAAAUAUUAUUACAAUUUAAAAUACCUAUUUUAUAUUUAAACAUAUUUAAAAUAUAUAUAUAUAUAUAUUCCUGUGGUGGAAAGUGAUAUUUUCCUCAUCUUUACUCCAAUCAAGAGCUUGCAGUGAUGUCAGCUGCCCUUGGCCUUUUAGUUUAAUUUCAGGUCCUGAUGUGUUUGAUUUGAAAUGUCAGCGGUCGUGAUACCUUUGAGUAAUGAACUACUGUCACAAUCAUCUUCAUUACGCCGCUGACCUUUCAGAAACAAAUGGAGAAAUAGAUUGCCUCCGUGCCAGUGAUUGAGUGAGUUCACAACUAUUUCUAAACAUGAAAAUAACUUCGUUUUGUUUUCGCUCCCAAAAGCACCUCUUGUUUUUCCUCUUUACUAAACAUGUUUAAAUCUAACUUUCUCCUUGUGUUUACUGGGAAAAUUGAGCUGCGUGCCUUUAAAUAGAUCUUAUCUGUCAUCAGCUGUUUCAUGAAGUCUUUGAAUAAAGCAGAACGUCAGAACUCUCUCCUCAAAAUAAUGAGUGGCUUGUUUUCCACUAAAAGCCUGUCAUCUCGCACUAACAGCAUGUAAAAAAAGUAUAACAGACUCUAUUAAUUAGAUAGCGUCGCACUUUUACUCGUGUCUCCUCACUCGAGCACUAGAUUUGCUGUAGAGGUGAUGCACAAAUAAUAUCAUAAAGAGUGCAACAGCAGGUCUAAAGCUGCAGCGCUGCAUAUUUAUGAGCGAACAAAAGUUCAGUCUUGUUUGUUCUGCCACCCAUGAAACCUGCGGCAUGUAGAGCAACUGUCACUUCCACGAAAACUUUAACACCAUUCAAAUGCACUCGUGUUUUAGCAUGCAUGUCUUAAUGAGGAAGUCACAUUGACUUAGUUCACUUUGUAUAACAGUGUUGCCCUUAAGUCACAUUUAUUAAAUCUAAAUUAGAGAGGACUUUGCUUAAUGAGUUUUGAUUUGUGACCACACGACCCUAUAAAGAUCUUAAGGAUAUGCAAAGACGAAAUUGUCUGUGACUGUCACUUUACGCUUGAGCUGGUUACUCGCUUCUGCCCAUAGAGUCUGUUCACCUCCAGUCAGUCCUCGUCCUUCUCCAACUGUUUACAGAUACACACCGUCUGAAUCUUUAAAUGAGACUUUUGACUUCCAAACAAGUUAAGCUUUAUUGACUGUGACACUAAUGCCGACUCGUUCCUCCGUAAACUUGUCAAAUAGUCGAACCAAAAUUAUGUUUGCAGUAAUGCACUUACAGCGAAGUUUCUGGCACAUUCUAGAGCUUAAAAACAGCAACGUGGAGCCCGUUCAGACAUUUGAUGAUUAGACCUAAACUCUGUCAUGAUGACGACGAAAACCUCAUUAAAAGAAGCAAAAGAAAACCUUAAUGUAGUGUUUUUGUUUAUAUAAAAUAAAAGGAUGUUAAUAUGUGAGACAUUAAAUAUACAUACAUACACAUCAUUUGAAAAUGGUGUUAAAGUUUGGUAUAAAACAUAAUUCAAACAUAUAAAUACGAAUAUAAAUAGUACAUUUCUCUCUCUCUAUAAUGAUUAGUAUUGUGGCUG